CUUCUCUUCCCCCUCGGGGCCUAGAGGAGGCCACGCGCGGGGUCUCCGAGCUCUAGGGUCCGGAGCUCUAGGGUCCUUUUAUGUAGCAAAGUCAGGCCUGGGAACAGAACUUCAUGUGCUUGUAAAAAGUCUCAGGUGCGUCCUCGUUGUUUUAGAGACUUGGAGAGGAAUGGGGGCGGGGGGAACAAAAUCCGAGGACAGUCGAGCCAAGAAAAGUCGGGGCUUCUAGGAUGCCAACCACGCCAAACAGAUCAAAACCAGGACUGGAGGACUGAAGAUGAAGCCGGCAAAAAGUCACCAGCCACGGCUCUUGUAAGGUAUGCUUCACCUCUCCUGCUAAGUCUUCAUCCCUGUCUAUGAGGACAAAGAAGUUACGGGUUAAAUUGGCGAUGGGCCAGGCGCUCCUUGAGGAUGCUCUAAAGUUGGUGAUAGAAAAUGGGAGAACUGAAGACAACCACUUUAUAAAACCCUUGCCUGCUUGAAUUUGUGGUGAUGAACCGGCCCCUGGGAUUUGCUGCUCAGGACCCGAGUUCACUGAGACAUCAGGAGCAAGNGGCCUGCACACACUUCUUCCCAGGAGAAGGGGAAUGAGGAAGGUCUGGAUCCCCUAGGGUUGCCACCAGGAUCACCAGAAAGUUUGUUAAAUAGAGAAGCACUUGAUAGAAGGCACCUGGAUAAGGAUGGACAGAAAUCAGAGGCCUUGGCUAUCUGGAUUCUGACUUCUUCAAAAAGAUGAGAUGAUAGAUGAGAAAAGCCCGUCCGUGGUGUUAGAGACUUUGGCCCCACACCCAUGCCGUGCAGCUCUGCCAGGGCCUACCUGCUUGACUCAACCCUUUUUGUUCCCUCACCCUCUCUGGGUAACUGAGAGAUUUAUACCUUGGCUAUCCUGGGAAUGUCUUUCUAAACUAAUAAAAUUGUUCUUGAGUUUCCUUCUGA
ensembl:processed_transcript